rnacentral:snoRNA from 1 species
AAUCAUAUGAUAAUGAUAAUAACAUGAAUUUGACUGAUCAUAAUGUUAAUCAAUAUAAU